GUGGUCGCCCUCCGUCGUGGUCUGGCGUGUAUUCCGAGCGUUGGUGUCUGGCGGUUUCCGAGCGUUGGUGUCUGGCGGUUUCUGACCGUUGGUGUCUGGCGGUUUCCGACCGUUGGUGUCUGGCACGCGCCACCCUCUCUUGCUUUGGUUGCGCCAUGCCGAUGUACCAGACAAGAAGACAAGAAAAUGAUUUGAGGACAGCUUCAAUCGCGGUGUGAAGAAGAAAGCAGCAAAACGACCACUGAAAACAACGCCGGUGGCAAAAUAUCCAAAGAAAGGGUCCCAAGCGGUACAUCGUCAUAGCCGGAAACAGUCAGAGCCACCAGCCAAUGAUAUUUUCAAUGCUGCGAAAGCUGCCAAAAGUGACAUGCAGCACCGAGAAGUCCGCGUGAAGUGCGUGAAGGCUCUGAAAGGGCUGUACGGUAACCGGGACCUGACCGCACGCCUUCACUGGCCGCUUCAAGGACUGGAUGGUUUCCAUGAUCGUGGACAGAGAGUACAGUGUGGCAGUGGAGGCCGUCAGAUUACUGAUACUUAUCCUUAAACUUUUCUACCCUGAGUGCGAGAUAAGAACGAUGGGUGGAAGAGAGCAACGCCAGAGCCCAGGCGCCCAGAGGACUUUCUUCCAGCUUCUGCUGUCCUUCUUUGUGGAGAGCAAGGAAAUGGAUUGCAUGAUUGUUUUGACCAUUUUUCUUCAUGCUAAAUAAAGUAUGCAGACUUAA
rnacentral:lncRNA from 1 species